rnacentral:rRNA from 1 species
CUUAUGCAUGCAAGUUGAGCGAAGCUUUUCAGUAGUUUACUACAGAAAAUGACUGAGCGGCGAACGGGUGAGUAACGCGUGAGCAAUCUACCUUAGUUACUGGGAUAGCCCGAGGAAACUCGGAUUAAUACCGGAUAAUCUUAUUACAUCACAUGAUAUUUUAAGUAAAGGUCAGCCGAACUAAGAUGAGCUCGCGUUCUAUCAGCUAGUUGGUGGGGUAAAAGCCUACCAAGGCUACGACGGAUAGCUGGUCUGAGAGGACGAUCAGCCACACUGGGACUGAGACACGGCCCAGACUCCUACGGGAGGCUGCAGCAGGGAAUAUUGUGCAAUGAGCGAAAGCUUGACACAGCGACACCGCGUGUGGGAUGACGGUUCUAGGAUUGUAAACCACUUUCAGGAGGGAAGAAAAUGACGGUACCUCCACAAGAAGCCCCGGCCAACUACGUGCCAGCAGCCGCGGUAAUACGUAGGGGGCGAGCGUUGUCCGGAUUUAUUGGGCGUAAAGAGCUCGUAGGCGGUUCAACAAGUCGGUCGUGAAAGUUUAGGGCUUAACCCUGAAAUGUCGAUCGAUACUGUUGUGACUAGGAUAUGGUAGAGGUGAAUGGAAUUCCGAGUGUAGCGGUGAAAUGCGUAGAUAUUCGGAGGAACACCAAUCGCGAAGGCAGUUCACUGGACCACUAUCGACGCUGAGGAGCGAAAGCUAGGGGAGCAAACAGGAUUAGAUACCCUGGUAGUCCUAGCUGUAAACGAUGGAUACUAGAUGUAGGAAUUGGAUUGACGAUUUCUGUAUCGUAGCUAACGCGUUAAGUAUCCCGCCUGGGGAGUACGGUCGCAAGACUAAAACUCAAAGGAAUUGACGGGACCCCGCACAAGCGGCGGAGCAUGCGGCUU